GACAGAGGUGCCGAGCGUUAGGCGGAAUCACUGGGCUUAAAGCGUGUGUAGGCGGACGGGCAAGUACCUUGUGAAAUCCCACGGCUCAACCGUGGAACGGCUGGGUAUACUGCCUGUCUUGAGCCAACUAGGGGCGAGCGGAACAGACGGUGGAGCGGUGAAAUGCGUAGAUAUCGUCUGGAACGCCAAAGGUGAAAACAGCUCGCUGGGGUUGUGCUGACGCUGAGACACGAAAGCCAGGGGAGCGAACGGG
rnacentral:rRNA from 1 species